rnacentral:lncRNA from 1 species
GUAACAAUGCCUGUCAGAAUCGGCAAAGAGGUGGUCUUGAAAGAAGGGUAAAUUUUGGGGUGUAAAACAUGAUCUCAUGCCUCCAGGAAAAAUGAAGGGUAAAUUUUGGGGUAUUACAUUUUGCAUAAGGAAUGUUGCCUAAUUCUAAGUCCAAUGUCUCAGAUCAAAUCCAACAGUCCACACAAAUGUCUUUUAGGAUUUUUGUUCUUAUUAUGUACAUUAAGGUCAAAGGACCACAAACACAAACAAGUAUACACAAUUAUAAUCACA